CAGCCCCCGGCUUCAGCAGCGCUUCCCGGUUCCGGGCGUGGUCCCGAGCUGCUACCCUACAGAAGACUACCGGCCGCAUCGCCCCAUCCUGAGCCCCGGGACGGGGGUGGGGGGUGGGCCGGGGCAACAACACACCGCUGCUGGGACAGGGGUUGGGGGAGUUCCCAGCAGUGUAGAGAGAGCUGGGGUGGUGAGUGGCCCUGGGGGGUGCAACACAAGCUCCUUCCUGGGCUCUCUGUUCGGCAGCAAACGUGCCAAACCGCCAAGUCCCCUUAUACCACCGGGGCCACCCUACCCCGCCCCCGUCCCCCCGCCAACGACGGGAGGGCCCCCUCCUCACUCCCCUUCAUCUCUUUGCCAGUCGGAUGGGGGCCCUUCCAAGAUCCAGGCCCUGCAUGCCCAGUACUGCCACACGGCCGUCGUACAGCCCCCUCCACCCUACUACCAUCACCAUCGCUACCACAUCCAAGCUGGCCCUCCUCCCUUGCCAGGGGGGGGCGUGCCCCCUCAUAUCCUUCAGAGAGGCCCGCUCCCCUGUCGCCCUCCUGUUGGCCCCCCCCACGCCCAGCUCCAGCAGCUGGCCCAUCUCUCCCAGCUCUCCCAGCAUGGCAUGCAGGGUCGCUACGGCAAUAUGGCGGUGGGCUGUCCUCCCCCCCUUUCUCCUCACUCCCAACAUUCCCAGAAUCCUCAGUUUGCCCUGUACCACUCGCAGCCCACACACUCCAUCAGGCCGGGCGCCGUGCCAAGCAAACCUCCUCUGACUUUGUCUCACUCCCACCCACACGCACACUCCCACACCCAUCCCGGGCACCCCCUCAGCGCCGCGCCCCACCCUGCCUCCCACCCCCAUCAGUCCCACUUCAUCUUCGGCACACUGCCCCACCAGCAUCAGCACCCGCAGCCGCCCGCCUCCGUCAGCACCCAUCACGCUGCGCCCGCCGGCCCGUAUCAGCCCCAGUACCCUCCUCUCUCUUCCAUCCCCCCUCCCCCACCCCACUCCCCUUUACCCCCCCCUUCUGCCCCCCUUACCCCUCUUACGCCUCUCUGCCCUCACCCCCCCCAGCACCCCGGGCAGCCUCAGCAGGGACCCCAAGUGACAGGGGCUGGGUCGACGGGCACGGGGGGCAGUUCCAAAUCCAAACCUAUCAACCGCAUCAGCACGGUAGUGUGAGCAGCAGAACGUGGGGGCACAGAGGGCAGAGGUCAGAGGGCAGGAUGGAGGAAAUGGGCGGGGCCAGGGCCAGAGCCAGGGCCAGUAGAGGAGAGCGGGACAGCGGCAGCAGCAACAACAGCUCCGGCGACAAGAAGAAACGCAACUUAUUUCGCCUCUGCUACUUCCACCUCCGCUUCCCACACAUGUAG
rnacentral:lncRNA from 1 species